rnacentral:rRNA from 1 species
CCUACGGGUGGCAGCAGUGGGGAAUAUUGGACAAUGGGGGCAACCCUGAUCCAGCCAUGCCGCGUGUGUGAAGAAGGCCCUCGGGUUGUAAAGCACUUUCAGUGAGGAAGAACGCCUGGUGGUUAAUACCCAUCAGGAAAGACAUCACUCACAGAAGAAGCACCGGCUAACUCCGUGCCAGCAGCCGCGGUAAUACGGAGGGUGCGAGCGUUAAUCGGAAUUACUGGGCGUAAAGCGCGCGUAGGUGGCUUGAUAAGCCGGUUGUGAAAGCCCCGGGCUCAACCUGGGAACGGCAUCCGGAACUGUCAAGCUAGAGUGCAGGAGAGGAAGGUAGAAUUCCCGGUGUAGCGGUGAAAUGCGUAGAGAUCGGGAGGAAUACCAGUGGCGACGGCGGCCUUCUGGACUGACACUGACACUGAGGUGCGAAAGCGUGGGUAGCAAACAGGAUUAGAUACCCUUGUAGUC